CGGGACCAUCCGGCAAGGCUAAAUACUCGUGAGAGACCGAUAGUGAACCAGUACCGUGAGGGAAAGGUGAAAAGCACUUCGAACAGAAGAGUGAAAUAGUCCCUGAACCCAUACGCCUACAAGCUGUCGGAGCCGCUUCGUGCGGUGACGGCGUGCCUUUUGCAUAAUGAGCCUACGAGUUACUCAUCACCAGCGAGGUUAAGUACUUCAGGUACGUAAGCCGAAGCGAAAGCGAGUCUGAAUAGGGCGUCAAGUUGGUGGUGGUAGACGCGAAACCUUAGUGAUCUACCCAUGGGCAGGGUGAAGGUUUGGUAACACAAACUGGAGGCCCGAACCGGUAAACGUUGAAAAGUUUUCGGAUGACCUGUGGGUAGGGGUGAAAGGCCAAUCAAACUGGGAAAUAGCUCGUACUCUCCGAAAUGCAUUUAGGUGCAGCCUCUGUUGUUUUGUUCUAGAGGUAGAGCUACUGAUUGGAUGCGAGGGCUUCACCGCCUAUCAAAUCCGGCCAAACUCCGAAUGCUAGAACAUGAAGACAGGGAGUGAGCCAGCGGGUGCUAAGGUCCGUUGACGAAAGAGGGAGAACUCAGACCAUCAGCUAAGGUCCCCAAUUAUAUGCUAAGUUGGAAUUAAAACGGGGUGGGACUGCUUAGACAGCUAGGAUGUUGGCUUGGAAGCAGCCAUUCAUUUAAAGAGUGCGUAACAGCUCACUAGUCGAGCGGUCCUGCAUGGAUAAUACGCGGGCAUAAGCAUAUAACCGAAGCUAUGGGAUUGUAGAUGAUACAAUCGGUAGGAGAGCAUUCCAUUCAGCGUAGAAGCAGUAUCGUGAGGUAUUGUGGAGCGGAUGGAAAAGCAAAUGUAGGCAUAAGUAACGAUAAUGCGGGUGAGAACCCCGCACGCCGAAAGAUCAAGGAUUCCCCGGCAAUGUCAAUCAUCCGGGGGUAAGUCGGAUCCUAAGGGUAAGCCGAGUGGCGAUCCCGAUGGCAAACAGGUUAAUAUUCCUGUACUGAUCAUAACUGCGAUGCAGCGACGCAGAGGUGACACUGCUGCGUACUGACGGAAUAGUACGUUGAAACCCGUAUUCUUUGAUACCGGUAGUGAAGCACGCCGGUAGAGAUGAAAGGUGAUAGUACCGCAAUGCUUCGGUUGCGCGGAUAACGCAGGUAAGCUGACUGCCAAGAAAACCUGCUAAGCUUCAGGUAAUGAUCAUCCGUACUGUAAACGGACACACGUGAUCAGGUAGAAAAUACUAAGGCGCCCGAGAGAUUCAUGGUUAAGGAACUAGGCAAAAUGGUCCUGUAACUUCGGGAUAAAGGACGCUCUUGUGAAAGAGCCGCAGAUAAUAGGCCCAGGCGACUGUUUACCAAAAACACAUGGCUAUGCUAAUUCGCAAGAAGAUGUAUAUGGCCUGACACCUGCCCGGUGCCGGAAGGUUAAGAGGAGAGCUCAGAGGCAACUCGAAGGUUUGAAUUGAAGCCCCGGUAAACGGCGGCCGUAACUAUAACGGUCCUAAGGUAGCGAAAUUCCUUGUCGGGU
rnacentral:rRNA from 1 species